AACUCCACGCCUGUACCGAGGCCCUUAGCAUGCAAGUACCCUCGGCAUCUGGCAGCAGAAAAGCAAAGCAUCUCCACCCAUACGCCUUCAAUCACUCUGCACAUCUUCUCGUCAUCUUCUAACUUCAGGAGCUCUUCAGCAAUGGACCAAGCAUCUUCAAUGAGCCCUCUUUUACUGGAUGGUGACUUAUCUUCCCCAGCGUCUGUGAAUAGGUUUCGCCUUGUGCCUGGCAUCAACAUCUCAGGAUUGACAAACAGUAGGGCACCGAUUAUUGAGGCCAGAGGAUCGCUCUAUGCACAUUGUUGUGGCAUGUUCACGGCCAUGAGAUGGACUGAUAUGGUAGAAGCACAAAUCCGUGGCGAGAUGCCAGAGAAGGACAAUCUCAUCGAAAGCUCCCUCUAA
rnacentral:lncRNA from 1 species